rnacentral:rRNA from 1 species
GGACUACUAGGGUAUCUAAUCCCAUUCGCUCCCCACGCUUUCGUCCUAGCAGUGUCAGGUGACACCCAGAAGCCUGCCUUCGCUAUUGGUGUUCCGAACGAUAUCAACGCAUUUCACUACUACACCGUUCGUUCCGGCUUCCUCUUUGUCCCUCGAGCUUAGAAGUUUCAAAAGACAGUCUCCCAGUUAAGCUGAGAGAUUUCACUUCUGACUUUCUAAACCACCGAUCGGUACGCUUUACGCCCAAUGAUUCCGGAUAACGCUUGAGGUCUCUGUAUUACCGCGGCUGCUGGCAC